CAGUGGGUUAUAAAAAACGGCCUUUCGAGUUGAGCAAUAAAUUCGUUCAAGCAGCCAUUCUGAAGGACAAACUGGCUCUGUAUUUAAGAGGGGCAUUCCAGCACUUCUCUAGCCACUGGGUUGACAAUGACUCACCAAAGCCUCUGGUAGCCACCACAGGACACCCAGAGCAUAUGUUUUAAAGCUGAACACCAAACUGCGGACUUCGGGAGGUCAUCAGCCUUCAAGCUUCAGUCUCUGUGUGUUCACAGGUGCUGUAAACACACGCAUCACUACUAAUAUCCCACUUCAGUGCUAUUGCUGCUCCCAAAACUCCAGGUAUUUUUAACCUUAUAAACCUCCAGAAUAAUGAGACCACUGGGUUCAGUAAAUUGCUUUGUUUUGAAGCACUAUUAGACAAAGUGGGAGACUAGAAGAUAAAUCUGUCAAUGACAUGUCCUUUAAGACUACUUAGAUUUUGUUGAAUUUGUGGAUCAUUCCUUACUUGAGCAAAUGGUAAAUUAACUCUCUCUUUUCUCUCUCUCUCUAGCUGGCACACUUUUUCCAGUAGCCAUUCUACUUGGUAUGCUUACUUAUCAGCUGUCCUCCAGGGGCCUCACAUUAGAUGUUUCUCUGACUAACCAAACAUGACACACAGCUGAAGUCAGAAAAACCAGAUUGAUAAUUUCACUCAAACUAUUUUCCUUCAUUCUAACAAUUUACUGGAGUACACAAUUGUGACUAUUUUUAGCCAUAGGAACUCAUAGAAAGACCAACUUCAUUAGACCUACAAAAUCGAAUUGUGUAACAGUAUAUGCAGUAUGUGUAGGAAUAAAAAGCAUUUCUCAAAUAUGCAGUACUGGAUUUUGCAAAAGCACCUUACACUUAGCUAUAAAGGAGUGGAAAACACAAAGAUGAGUAACUGCACUUUUCAAAAGACUAGAGCUAUACCAAUAAUACAAAGGUGUAAACAAAUAAUGAUGAGAUGACAAAGGCUGAGUGUUUUCUAUUUGGAAGCUAUGUUGUUGAGUUAUUUAUGUAUAUAAUUUCAUGCAAUCUUCAUGUUAUGGGGAUGUUCUAAUCCACUGUGACUCUGUCCUUAAAUAAAAGGGAGAUUUGGACAUAGAGAGAGGCACACGGGGAGGAUGCCAUAUGAGAAUUGACACUGUGCUGUCACAAGCCAAGGAACUACUGGAAGGAGAGAAAGAGGACUGGAACAGUUCCUUCCUUAGCACCUUUUCAGGCAGCCUAGCCCUGCCAGCUUCUUGAUCUGGACUUCUCACCUCUAGAAUUGUGAGGCAAUAAAUCUCUGUUGCUUAAGUUA
rnacentral:lncRNA from 1 species